rnacentral:rRNA from 1 species
UGGGGAAUUUUGGACAAUGGGCGAAAGCCUGAUCCAGCCAUGCCGCGUGAGUGAAGAAGGCCUUCGGGUUGUAAAGCUCUUUUAGUCGGAAAGAAAGAGUUGCAAUGAAUAAUUGUGAUUUAUGACGGUACCGACAGAAAAAGCACCGGCUAACUACGUGCCAGCAGCCGCGGUAAUACGUAGGGUGCGAGCGUUAAUCGGAAUUACUGGGCGUAAAGGGUGCGCAGGCGGUCUUGCAAGUCAGAUGUGAAAGCCCCGGGCUUAACCUGUGAAGUGCGUUUGAAACUACAAGACUAGAGUGCAGCAGAGGGGAGUGGAAGUCCAUGUGGAUCAGUGAAAUGCGUAGAGAUGUGGAAGAACACCGAUGGCGAAGGCAGCUCCCUGGGUUGACACUGACGCUCAUGCACGAAAGCGUGGGGAGCAAACA